UGAUAAUUAGUUUAAGACAAAACAAAUGAUUUCGACUCAUUAGAUUAUGAAUUCACAUAAUUAUCAU
rnacentral:tRNA from 2 species